rnacentral:rRNA from 1 species
UACGUAGGGGGCUAGCGUUGUUCGGAAUUACUGGGCGUAAAGCGCACGUAGGCGGCGCAGCAAGUUGGGGGUGAAAUCCCGAGGCUCAACCUCGGAAUUGCCUUCAAAACUGCUGUGCUCGAGUUCGGAAGAGGUGAGUGGAAUUCCCAGUGUAGAGGUGAAAUUCGUAGAGAUUGGGAAGAACACCAGUGGCGAAGGCGGCUCACUGGUCCGCAACUGACGCUGAGGUGCGAAAGCGUGGGGAGCAAACAGG